ACGUGGGACUCCACCCCGGGUGCCACAUACCUUCUCCACUGCUCUUCCGAGACCUCCGUGGUGUCCCGGGACCAAGAGGACCAGAAGCUUCCAGGACUGCUGCUGUUUCAGAGUGUAAAUGCUCAAACAUGGGACUCGAAGACACAUCCUUUAAACAACACUGGAACAGCCCAUGCUGGGGAGUCAGUGUGCCAUAGCAAAUGAGUCCCUGGACCGGGAGUUUGGAGACCCUGCAAGACCUCUACUACCAGCUGAUUGUGUGACUGGAUAAUCCACUCCCUUUCUCAAGGCCUCAAAUUCCACAUAUGCAGAAUGGAAGGGCUGCACUGAAUCUUUUGAGUCCUCUGCGAUCUUUUGAAAGUUAAUACUUGAAGCCCUGUCCAUUUGAAAUGUUAUUCCUAACUCUUUAUUUUUAUUCUCUGUUUUGUCUCCCCAAUUAAACUACAAGCUUCCAUACA